AAAAAUCAAAACAAUUUAUAAUUUGAAAUAGAUGGAGUACUAAAGUACUAAGCAACACGCUGAAUUAUAUUGUUAGAAACUCUAGAAAUCUUAAUCACAAUGCAGAAAAUCUGGAUUGAAUUAUUACUAACAUCUAGUGCCCUCGCGUAGACAUUCCACUCCAGCUCCAGCAUGCAGCAGCCAAAAGCCCAAAAAGAAGCAACAACACCGCCUGUGAAAAGAAAACACACAUAACCAGAGCCGCGAAUAUCGCAACGCCCAUAAAAAUGUGACGUGCCACACAAACCUUCAAGCCCAGCGUCGCCAACCAUCAAACCCAACCCAACCAAACCAAGCAACGCAAUUCCCCCAUCCCCGAACCAGCGCCGCCGCCUCCUCUCUCCGCCACCGCCACCGUCCGGACGCCCCCCGCGCGCGCCUCCUCGGACCCCCGCACCCCAAGCUCUCCAUCCCGCCGUGGAUCACCGUGUGAGGAGGGGCGCACCGGCCGGGCCCCGGCGGCCCAGAUGGUGUCCGGCGCCGGCGGGGGCGAGUAGCGCGAUCGGCGGCGGCGGCGGCGGCGAACGGAUCGGCGGCGCGGCGAGGCGGCGGCGGGGGCCACCAUGUCUGCGGUAGUGUGCGGCAAGAGGUCCUCCUCCAUCUUCGGCGACGAGCUUAUACCUUCCCCUUCCUCCCCUCCGUCCCCUCCCCAUCACCAUCAUCCCUCCAAGCGGGCUCGCUGCUCCCCGGCUCGCCGGAGGGAGGCGCUGCUCCACCACCUACUCCCCCUCUUCCCGGACAUGGAUCCCCAGGUUCGUCUACGUGCUUUGUUUAUCUAUAAUUAGCAAAAUUCGGUGAGAAAUGGCGCUUGGAUGCGGAAAGGUGGCUCAUUUGGUUCUAACCGAAUUUUCUAUUUCAUGGGUAGCGCGUUUUAGAAUCUAGAUCUUGCUACUGCGUAUCAGAUAAGACUGCUCCAGCUAGGUGGAUCUAGAUGGUAUCGAUUUUGGUGUGAGCACUUGGAUGCGAAAAAUACACAUUCUUAUGGUAGUAGAUUCAUGAUUUUGCAAUUUUUUUAAGCUAUAGUGUCUGGUGGAACAGGACUCUCUUUGUUCUAAAGUUUUGGUUUUUAUUGCAUAACUUGUUGUGCAGUGUUUUUACUAAGUGAAGUUAGGUUGAGGCAUUUAGAUGAUUGGCAUAUCUGUUUUCAAGGAAAAAAUGGAGCUAAAACAUUUGAUGCAUGUCUGUUCAUUUUUUUUUACACAAUGCUUAUGAAUUAAACAAAGAAUUGUACUUGGGUGUUCAUCAAGCAGAGAAAAUAUGAAUACUGACAUGUGAAAUUCCCAGUUUGAGGACAUAGUAGUUUAUAAUCGCCCAAAUGGUUCCCAGUUGAGGACAUAGUAGUUUAUAAUCGCUCAAAUGGCAAGAUUAUCUCAACUUUCAUCUAGUUUUUGUGCCUUGUUUGGAAUACCCACCAAAAAGUUUGAUGUUCUGAUGCCUGACCAUUUCUCAGAAUCUUAAAAAGUUAUCUGUUUAUGAGCUGUCCAGUUUUGCAGUUCGUGUUUAUUUGAAGCUCGUAUUGGGUUUGCAAGUUCAGGAAGUUUUUUUCAUGGUAGUGUGUCACCUUUCCUUCUUGCACUUGGCAGUGCCCUAUGUGAUGUUAUUUAUUUUGUGGAAUUACAAUUCUCAUUUCAUUAUUUAUUGAAAAUGGUGCUUUCACUCAUAUGAAUUCAAUGGAACCAAUGUUUUAAAUAGCGGCUGAUUGCCGCCACGACAGUGUUACACUAAAUAGCAGUCUGUAGCGACGCUAUAACGACUGAGCAUAGCUCUCUGCUAAAUUCUAUAGCCCGCUAUUUAAAACACUGAAUCGAACUAGAUAUUUAUAUCAAUUCUGUUUGAGAUGUAUUGGACUAUUGUAGAUAUGUAGAUGAUACUGACAGGUCCAAUGUACAUUUGACAAUCACCCACGUAUUUUGAUAUAGUAAGCUUUUGGAAAAACCUGUACCCAUUUGUGCUAGCUAACAACUAACAACAUUUAUAUUGGUCUAUGUCAUGUGUCCCACACAUGUAAGAUUUUCUUAUAUCGCCAUGGUAUUCACAUAUAUUUUGUGACAUGUAUCCUUUGUUUGGAAUAUAUGUUUCUGGUUAUGUGGUUGUUAUCUGCAGCUGGGCACUUCGUUUGAAUAUUACCAUUUUUUUAGAGAUUGGCAAUUAUAUGAUUGUAUUCUUGAUUAUAGCUUGUCUUGGUAGUGAAUAAAUCAAGUAUAUGAUGUUGAUUUUCAUUUGGGUUACACUGAUACUGAUUUCUAAAAUGAUGCCAGUUGCUCGAAAGAGCUCUUGAGGCAUCUGGAGAUGAUUUAGAUUCUGCAAUAAAAAGUUUGACUGAGCUGCGCUUGGAGUCAGCUGAGGCUAUCCUAUCCGCUACUGUUGGUGCAUCAGAGAAUGGUCUAUCGGCAGCUCUUAAGUUGUCAGCUGAAGGUAUCUUGAUUGGAUUUCAUUACAAGGCAGUUGCAUGAAAUAAUUUGUAGCAUAUAUUAGUCGUGCAUUCACAUGUUUGAUUACUGGUAAGAACUUUGUUAGAUUAAUGUUUGCUACAGUUAAAAAUCCACUUGCUUGGUGUUGCCUAAAUUUUUGGGCAAUGCCAUCAAGGAGGCAUCUUUUGUUGUCUUUCCAACAUUGCAGCAUAUGCCUAUUUCCUGUUGAUCCAGAUUUCCCACUUUGUAUUAUCAGUGUUUAUUUGAGGUAGCAGCGAAUGCCUGUACUUUGUAUUGGCUAAAGCUAACUAUCAGGUGUGCCAACCGUCUUAGUUCACCUUCUAUCUUUUCUUUUUCUUGGGUAUUACUUAGGCUUCUAUUUGUUCUAGGAUAUGUACAUUCAGAAAUCACUUGUUUUUGCUACAUCUUCAUAAAUCAUUUCCUUUGAUGCUAACUUUAUGAUUCUCAAUCUUGGACAGGCACUGUCAGUAAUGGCCGUGUAGUUACUGAGCAUCCCCCUGCAAUUGAUAUUAAUAAGACAAAUAAUCAUAGCUCUGAAUGGGUUGAGCUAUUUGUCAGAGAGAUGAUGAGCUCCUCCGACAUAGAUGAUGCACGAGCUCGUGCCUCCAGGGCUUUGGAAGCAUUUGAAAAAUCCAUCAUGGAUCGAGUAGGGCCUGAAGCAGUGCAGAAUUUGCACAGGGUACUAUAGCAUGCAUCACUAGGCAUUUUGAUCUGUUGGACCUGUGCUUGCUGGGAAGCCUAAGUGGUUAUGUUUUUACUUGUCCAUAGGAAAAUGUGAUGCUGAAGGAGCAACUAGCAAUAAUACUGCGCGAAAAUGCUGUUCUGAAGCGCGGUGUUGCGAUACAGCAUGAGCGCCAAAAAGAGUUUGAUGCAAGGACUCAGGAGGUUGACAGCCUGAAACAGUUGGUGCUGCAGUACCAGGAGCAGCUAAAAACUCUCGAGGUACUCCACGCUCAUCACCUGUUGCAAUUUUGACCCUUUCACAUUUUACUGUAAAAAUGUUAAUCUGGGAAUCGUGGUUCAUUGCAGAUAAAUAACUAUGCACUUAGAGUGCAUCUGAAGCAAGCUCAGCAGAACAAUUCUAUGCCUGGACGUUUUCCCCCUGAUGUCUUCUAAUAAAUGUUGUGCUUAUGUACCUCUCAUAAUAAACACCAUGAUGUAUUUAAAGUGAGGGAGAGGGAUUCACGUAUCGCUACUGUGAUAUAGUGACUCAGGACCUUUAGGCCGAGAGCUCAAAUGUUGCAUAUACCAGCAAAUCACCCAAUCAUCAGGCUUACGCAGCUACGAAGCAUCGACAUAAGGUCCGGAACUCCUGUUUACUUGGAGGUUGAACUGGUAUGUGACAUUACUGUCUGCUUGGCGGUGCACCCUGGUGCUUACUGUCUGCUUGUGACAUUAUGGGUUGCGUCAUUGCGUGGGUUGGAAUUGUAAGAACUGAUGCAUUGUAAUAUGGAACGCAGAAGAAUCAAGCGAUGUACUGGUUAUAUUGAGAGAGAGAGGAUGUUUUACCAGCUAGAACUGUUCAUGUUUAAGAGACUUCUGCAAUCUGAAUCCAGUUUACCAGCUACCGAACCCGUACGUCCAUCUGGAUGAAUGAAUAGCUCCACCAGUAUGUUCCCAGGUAGCGGUCGUCACCACGUCGACCAAGACUGAGCUCUCUGCCGUUCCCUUGGACGAAACGAAACAAAACGCUGCGCUCGGCGCGGCGGAGCCAGCUGCCAGGAUCCGCGGGCCGCGCGCCGACACGGCCACAGCGUGAUCCCUGCGGUCGCGCUGGACGAGAUCACCGGCCACCUGCACGGCGCCCGCCGGCGACUUCCUCCGCUGCGGUCCGGGGUAAGAAGAUACACGUGGCCCCUGACGUCGGUAGCGCCCGUGUCCGCGCCAUCGAUCGCGCCUAUUCGAAGUCAAGAGGUACUCUGCUCGUGUGCCGGCCUCGAAGCACACCGCGGUGACCUCGCGGCGGCCGGUUACGCUGUCCUGCGGUGCCGCGCCGGCGCCGCUGCCGGCCUCUCCAGGUCAACGACUCUUCCCUUCCAGGCUCAUCUAUCUCCGACGGCAGCAUAGACAUUGAAAGCAUCCAUCUGAGCGACAGAGCGAGUAGUUCCAUUCCACCAGCGCACGCUGCACCUCGCGGUCGCGGUGUCCAUACUGGCAUCCCGGCACCUGAACGCGGUGCCGUGACGGCGCCCUCAUCUCGUCGAUGAAGCGGAGCGACAGCGUUCUUCUCGGCUUCUCGCCGGCGGUCCGGAACGGGAACACGUCUCACACGGUCACAUCGUCUUGGGCCCAGGAGAGCUGGCGGUGGCGUGCCAGUCGUCAAUGGCGCCGGCCGGCCUCAACCAGGGGUCCACCCUGGGCCUAUCCAGGACGUUGGAUAGGAUUUAUACGGCCGAGGUCGACGCGGAUAACUACACGCACCCAAGGCCCUUUUCGUCUUCCUCUUGCGGUCUCGCCGGCCGGCUCGCCGCCCUCGCCGUGGCGUCAAACCGAGCCGCCGCGACGGCUUCCACCACCUCGAUGGAGGGAGUCGACGGAAACUUCUCCCUGGGAAGCUGGAACACGUUUCGAACCAUCUCGAUCUCGCAGGAGAGCUAGCGGUGGAGUCCUCGGCGGCGUGGUCGUCGCCACUGGUGGCGGGCAGUCGGACCCUACGGGUGGACGGUAAAUGAAAUACCGUCCACCCCUGGGCCUAUAUCGGACGUUGGAUCGGGCUUGGGCGGUCGAGAUCGGCGCGGACGCUGCAAGGUACCGAGGCGCCGAGGCCCUCUCCGCCGGUCUCCGCCUUCGCCGCGCGACGCAUCCCAAGGGUUCCCCUCCACGACGUGCGCUGCGGCGGCACCGUCCAAGAUGGCAGCGCCGGCAAGAAUCGCCGCCCAUCUAUGGCAGAGCCAGCAGGGAGCGUCGUCUACUCUGUGCCGGCGGCCGCGCCGUGGGCAUUGGCGCAAUCGAACCGCUCCGAGGUUUGUAGAAGCUGGGCAUGGAGAUCGUGGUCUUGCCGUUGCCGCACCAGUCCGUAUCACGGCCAGCAGCUCCAGCGCUGCAUUAAGAGUGCUCAGCUCAGACGCCGCCAAUGGCUGCAUGGCGUACCCUCGCCAUCGGCGUCUUCCACGAUGACCCCCGCAACCGGCUGUCGUCAUCAAACCGCUGACUGCAGGUGCCACCUGGGCAUCUUGUUCGAUGCGCUUACCGCCCCUCGCCCCCACCUCUGAAUGGCCAGGCAAAUGCAAGGAAUCAUCGUCCUCCCUAACCACGGAGGUGGCCUGCUUUUUGGGCGAGCACCCGAAGUGGACCGUGAGGAAGGAGGUUUUAUGUGGAUCCUGCCUCGGUGCGUCCACGACGUACGCUGGAACUAGAAUUGUGUGCAACUACGCGAUCGCCAACAUUGCUCUAUCUGUGUCUUUCGAUUGCCUAUAUCGAUCAUAAUAUCAAAGACGUGGUGAUCUGAAGAACGCACUACAGUAAGUAGUAGAUAAAGAAGUGCAGAAAGGUGAAGAACGUUCAAACUGAAGCAAGUUUUUGCCCUAAUGUGAUUAAGGGCCACUUUGGCAGGGCUUCCCUACCGGCUUCACCACCGGCUUCGGGGGAAGCCCUACCAAAGGGGCAGAAAAAAACAGCUUCGUCCAGGGAGCACCGCAAAAUGCGGUAACUGAAGCCGAUCGAUGGAGCGGGAGCCCAAAAAAGGCCCUCCCCGUGGCUCCUUCUCCGUCCCCGCAUCUACCAAGACCAAACUGCUCUUCAAGUUGGCAAAAAUCUCACCUGAAACUGUCAUCCGUCGCUGCCCGGCGUCCAUGCCUCCAACGCGGCUGUAGAUGCCCGGACCGGCGGCUCCUCGUCGACUAGUGCUGGUGCGAGCGCGCCGCCCGCCUUUGCCGCGUGGCCCAGCAUCUCCUCGUCGGCCGCUAGAUGCAGUUUGGGCGCGAGGCAAUGGAGCAGCGUGGUAGGGCCCGCAGCACGGCAAAGGACAUAGCAGCGCGAAGUGAUGGAGCUGGAUCGAGCAAUGGGCGAUGAGGAGGAGAGUGACAGGAGGAAAAGGAGAUGAG
rnacentral:lncRNA from 1 species